rnacentral:rRNA from 1 species
CUCCUACGGGAGCAGCAGUGGGGAAUAUUGCACAAUGGGCGCAAGCCUGAUGCAGCCAUGCCGCGUGUAUGAAGAAGGCCUUCGGGUUGUAAAGUACUUUCAGCAGUGAGGAAGGUGGGUAUGUUAAUAGCAUACUCAUUUGACGUUAGCUGCAGAAGAAGCACCGGCUAACUCCGUGCCAGCAGCCGCGGUAAUACGGAGGGUGCGAGCGUUAAUCGGAAUUACUGGGCGUAAAGCGCAUGCAGGUGGUUUGUUAAGUCAGAUGUGAAAGCCCGGGGCUCAACCUCGGAAUUGCAUUUGAAACUGGCAAACUAGAGUACUGUAGAGGGGGUAGAAUUUCAGGUGUAGCGGUGAAAUGCGUAGAGAUCUGAAGGAAUACCGGUGGCGAAGGCGGCCCCCUGGACAGAUACUGACACUCAGAUGCGAAAGCGUGGGGAGCAAACAGGAUUAGAUACCCUGGUAG